rnacentral:rRNA from 1 species
UCCGUAGGGGGCAAGCGUUGUCCGGAUUUAUUGGGCGUAAAGAGCGUGUAGGCGGCCAAGCAGGUCCGCUGUGAAAACUCGAGGCUCAACCUCGAGACGUCGGUGGAAACCGUUUGGCUAGAGUCCGGAAGAGGAGAGUGGAAUUCCCGGUGUAGCGGUGAAAUGCGCAGAUAUCGGGAAGAACACCCGUGGCGAAGGCGGCUCUCUGGGACGGUACUGACGCUGAGACGCGAAAGCGUGGGGAGCGAACAGG